GACGAACGCUGGCGGCGUGCUUAACACAUGCAAGUCGAACGAAGUGGCGAACGGGUGAGUAACGCGUAAUCAACCUGCCCUUCAGAGGGGGAUAACAGUUGGAAACGACUGCUAAUACCGCAUACUGAAGGAGGGGAUUGCGUCUGAUUAGCUAGUUGGAGGGGUAACGGCCCACCAAGGCGAUGAUCAGUAGCCGGGCUGGGAGGAUGGACGGCCAAAAUGGGAAAGAGACAAGGCCCAGACUCCUACGGGAGGCAGCAGUGGGGAAUCUUCCGCAAUGGACGGAAGGCUGACGGAGCAAAGCCGCGGGAGUGAUGACGGCCUUCGGGUUGUAAAGCUCUGUUAAUCGGGACGCGGUACCGGAAUAGAAAGCCACGGCUAACUACGUGCCAGCAGCCGCGGUAAUUC
rnacentral:rRNA from 1 species